rnacentral:rRNA from 1 species
UACGUAGGGGGCAAGCGUUGUCCGGAAUUAUUGGGCGUAAAGAGCUCGUAGGCGGUCUGUCGCGUCUGCCGUGAAAACCCGAGGCUUAACCUCGUGGCUUGCGGUGGAUACGGGCAGACUAGAGGUAGGUAGGGGAGAAUGGAAUUCCCGGUGUAGCGGUGAAAUGCGCAGAUAUCGGGAGGAACACCGGUGGCGAAGGCGGUUCUCUGGGCCUUACCUGACGCUGAGGAGCGAAAGCGUGGGGAGCGAACAGG